GCCUGGGAACUUCCAUAUACCUUAGGCAGCAGCCAAAACAAAACAGAGACAUAAGCAGCUAAACUGUGGGAACUUAAGCUUCUGGUUUUUUUUUCCAGUUUAUGGGUAAUAGCAAGAAAUGACAAACAUAAUAAAACAGAAAUUUUUAAAAUGUUCUCCAAAGAGCAGAUAUACAGUGUACUCCUUUUCCAAAAAGGAAGUAAAGGGAAAACAGAAAACCCUUUAUCUCAUUGAAUACAGCUUUUGUCACAUAGAACUUUGCAGAGCUCCCCUUAUUUUCUACUUCUUCUGGUGCUUCAUAUUUUAGAAGUGUCUUUACUAAUUCCCGGGUUUCUGAAAACUAAAAUUUUAACCAAGUUGGAACAGACUUCUUUUUCCUUUCAUAAAUAUGCAUAAACAAAUGAAGUAACUCCCAAAUGUAAGACUGUUUCUGGGACAUAUUGCAGAAGAUGAAAUGAGCAGUUAGGGGCUAUGUCACGCAUAGCAGAAGGGAUGCACUUGACAGCCUACCCAGGCUGUCUGUAGUCUGCACCAUUUGAUAGUUCUAUCAGAACAUCAGAUCCUAAGUGUUGAGUUUACAUUUACACCAUUUUAUUAAAGUUUAAAACAUAAAGGGAGAAUAGAUAACUGGACUUGUUGAAUUUGAAUAUGUAUAAAUUUGAAUAUGUUUAAGUCCAGAAUGUGUGUGUGUAUAUAUAUAUAUAUAUAUAUGUAAACAAAAUUCAGCUAUUGAGUUAUAAUUUACAUGCCCAUAUCUUCUGGAAAAUUGAGAGGGGAUUAGAAAAUUGGGAGCUCCUUAAAGUAUGAGAACUUUCUCCAAAGAAUCUUGUUAUAGGCUGAACUGUGUGCCCCCAGAUUUCCUAUGUUGAAGCCCUAACCCUCAGAGUUACUGUAUUAGGCAACAGGACCUUUAAGGAGGUAAUUACGGUUAAAUAAAUUCUUAAGGAUGAGGCCCUAAUUCAGUUCUCGCUCUUUACCCCCCUCCCCUGAGGACAUAGAGGAGAGGCCCCAUGAGGCAGUCUACAAGCCAGGAAGAGAUCUCACCAGAAACCAACCCUGAUGGCACCCUGAUCUUGGAUUUCAAACCUCCAGAAUGGUCAGACUGAGUCCCAGCUUGACUACACCAAAGACAGAAGGAUUGCUUUAAGGAGGACUAACAUCCCAAGGAUACUUCUGUUAAGAGGACUUGAACUUUAUUGGAAGAAAAUAUAUCUUACAUAUAAGAUAGCUAGAGGAUGGAUAGAAGAUAAAUGAGGAUACUUGGAUGGUUUACUGACCUGCACUCUGGCUUCAGUCACUCCCAUGCGUCUUGCAAACUCCUUUCUGAAAGAAAAAAAUGACAAACGUUCAGUAAUCAUAGAUGUGGAUGAAGUUAAAACAUGUGGCUGUUAUUUCAUGCUUGUUUUAAAAUGUUUAUCCCCUGCAUGCCCCCCACCCCAGUACACUUUUCUGUAAUACUCAGCUUACAGAGGUUUUCCCUCCUGCACAAAAUUUAAUGUGCCACAAAAAAAAAAUCUGUAAUCAAAAUAAAUAGUGUUUUGUGAGGCUACAAAUAACAAAUGCUGGUGAGGGUGUGGAGAAAAGGGAACACUCC